AACGAACGCUGGCGGCAGGCCUAACACAUGCAAGUCGAGCGCCCCGCAAGGGGAGCGGCGGACGGGUGAGUAACGCGUGGGAACGUACCCUUUGCUACGGAAUAGCCUCGGGAAACUGGGAGUAAUACCGUAUGUGCCCUUCGGGGGAAAGAUUUAUCGGCAAAGGAUCGGCCCGCGUUGGAUUAGGUAGUUGGUGGGUAAUGGCCUACCAAGCCGACGAUCCAUAGCUGGUUUGAGAGGAUGAUCAGCCACACUGGGACUGAGACACGGCCCAGACUCCUACGGGAGGCAGCAGUGGGGAAUCUUAGACAAUGGGCGCAAGCCUGAUCUAGCCAUGCCGCGUGAGCGAUGAAGGCCUUAGGGUUGUAAAGCUCUUUCAGUGGGGAAAUAAUGACUGUACCCACAGAAGAAGCCCCGGCUAACUCCGUGCCAGCAGCCGCGGUAAAAAGUACUCUAU
rnacentral:rRNA from 1 species